rnacentral:lncRNA from 10 species
CUUUCACCUCCUUGGUUAAGUAUAUUACUAGGUGUUUUAUUUCUUUGCAGCUGCUGUGAAAGGGGUUCAGUUCUUCUCAACUUGGUUGUUUUUGAUGUACAGCAGUGCUACUGAUUUGUGUAAAUUGAUUUUGUAACCUGAGACUUUACUGAACUCCUUUAUCAAAUCUAGGAGUCUUUAGGGUUUUCUAGGUAUACAAUUAUACCAUUGGUAAACAGUAGUAGUUUGACUUCCUUUUUUCUUAUUUGGAAACCCUAUAUUUUCUUCUCUUUCCUGAUUGCUCUGGCUAGGACUUCCAUUACUAUGUUGAACAGAAGUGGUGAAAGUGGGCAUCCUUGUCUUGUUCCAGUACUCAGGGGGAAAGCUUUCAACUUUUCUCCAUUCACUAUGAUGUUGGCUGUGGGUUUGUCAUAGAUGGCUUUGAUUCAUUUGAGAUUUGUCUAAUAUAGAUACUUCCGUGAGCAGCCCAAGCCCCUCUUCACUGACAAGUUCUACCUCACCUUAACCGAGGGCAUUGCUCUUUCAGACAGACCACCUUGCAAAGGACAGCUGCAUACUCAACCUGCCGCUGUUUCUCCUGGAGGCCAACCUGGUGACCUUCCUCUUCCCUCUGGACCGCCUGAGAAGGGCGGCAGAAAAGGAGAUGGUGACAAGAUGCCUCUGCACAACCUCGCCAUGGUUUUGGCCCCAUGAUGCUCUGGCUUUCUAGUCUUCAUUGCUUUGUCUCCAACUCAAGCAUAGUUUUUGUUUGUUUGUUUGUUUGUUUUACUCAUUCUUGAGAGGAAGCCAUUAGCUUUCUUUGGAUGCUUUGUCAUUUAUCUUAUGUGACUACACCAGUUAAUCAAAGGAUCACUUGCUGCUCUUCUUCCACUAAAACAACACCCACUUCAUGCUCAUUGUCUAAAGUGGGGGCAUCAUUUGUAACUACAGAUACUAAUUGUGGGGAUCCCAGGUUUAUUAUGUGGGAGAGACUGAGACUCCCCUCAUCUGUCCCCUGAGGAGGGUUCAUAGGUGAGUGAGAAAGGGACAAGGCAGCGAUGUGGACAUCUCCCCACAUUGCCCAAGGGGCAUUGCUUCCUAGUGAGGAAACUCUCGCUGCAGUUUUCUGGCAGGGAAAUAAUACAAUCUCCAGAUCAUUUAUCAAUUUUGUUUUUUUUAAAUAAAUAUUUUGCCAUUAUUAGAUGAGUAUAUAAAAAAUAAAUAAUAUGGAUUUAUCUUGCAGUGUACCAUUUAACUCCAUCCCAAAAUAGAUCUAUUAUCUUCUCUUUUGUUCAAUGAAUACUAUUCAUACCUAGGCAAAACUGUUGCUGUUACUCAUGAUUUAAGGGCAUUAGGAAUACAACUCUAGGGAAAAAAUACUGCUAUUGGAAACCAAAAAGAGUGUCUGGGACAGGUGUCAAUCUAUUUAGAGGUUUUUUUCACCAAGGUUGAGGAUGCACCCGGGAAAAAGAGACACAAGCCACAGUGGAAUCUGUGGCCUGCACUUUUUCCAAAGAGUUUUGAGGGUUUCAAUAUUUAUAGGGGAAAAAGCAGGCCAAAGGGAAAGGAAAGAAGACAAAAAGGGGAGAGUAGAAAAAAUGAGACAAGUGGUCUCAUUGUCUUGAGGCUUUCAUUAGUUCUCACUGAAGCCACAGGUUGCCCAUGAAAAGGAGGGGGUAGAGGAACAGCUGAUUAUGUGCUCGCCUGGCACUGGUAAGGCUGCACCUCACAUGAGAUAAAGCAAACAUAGAGUAGAGGAAGCAUCAACAUGCAUUUGUCUUGGGGUGGUGGUAGGAAUAUUUCUAGUUUCCUUUUGUCCUGUAUCCCUGAAGAUAAGUUGCUAAUUUACAUGGUCAGGGUGAGGGAGGUAACCUGGAAAGAUAUGUUUAGGAACAAAAGGAAAGAUGGUUUCUGGGUGUGACUCAGUUUCCAAGUUUAACUUUCCCUUUUGGCAUAGCGAGUUUGGGGUCCCAACAUUUUAUUUUCCUUUUACACUAUUGACUACUAACAGUCUUUGUUGUUAAAUUCCAUCUGUUUUAAAAUUUUAAUAAAAUAUUUAUAUCAUAAAAUAUAAAUUAUUCACUUAUAAGAUUAAUAUAAAUAAUAUUAACAAAACAUUGUCUUGAAAAAUGUAGUUUGACAAAGUUUCAAUCUGAGUAAAAGAUAGUAUCUUAAAUACAGUAUUUUUUCACUGCUGGUGAGAGAGAAUCUAAACUUUCUGUGAAGACUAAGAAAGUCUCACAUUCUUGGUGCACGCCAGGAAGCCCCGUGUUCCUUGGAUGUGGAGGAGUUGAACAUGAAGGAGCUGGCUGUGAUGUCAGCAUGUGAAGGUGGAGGAACUCCAGCCCAGGAGGGGCUCCUGGAUCCACCCGCCCCAGAUGGACUCGAGGUGGGGAAGGCAGCCUGGAGGCUUGGGAGGCCUGAGUAGAGAGGAGGGAACAGCGCUCCCUUAAGACCCAGGCCCACUCCCAGGGAAGGGAGCAGCAGGGCCACACUCUUGGCCACCUUGGAAGAGCUCCUUGCUGUGGGCUGAUUCCCACGACCUUGUCUAGGGAUUCCAGCAUUUUAGGUAGCUCCUCCAUUGCCUUCGUUGGUUAGAGCAUUUGGAACUUUUCUUUUUCACUUCUCGAACCAAAGAAGUUAAUUCCUUCAUCGAUACCAAGUUGGCACUCUUCACCUUUUUGUAAGCAUCUGCAAGGCUGGGAAUAUUUAAAGACUCCUUCUUUAGCCAGGCAUUCUCUAGUGCUGCCUCCAUCUCUGCAUACUCCUUUUUCAAAACACCAAGCUUCUAAAUGAAUUGAUUUUUUUCUCACAUUCUGCAGCCUGUGUUUUGUGAGUCACUUUUCAUGUCUUACAUAAAGUCAGCUUCUAACAGAUUCAACAAGUCUGAACAAAAAUAAAAGACCUACCAAGAAGCUGAUGAGACCAGUGUCUCCCCUGAUGGCUUUGGAAAGUGAGUUGUGGACUGAAGCCAUUGGGCAGCAUCUUAUAUAUCACCUCACACAUUUCGUAAAUAUCAGCCCCAAACGAAGUUUCACAGAAGAUCCCGGCCCCUCCAUCCCUGCAACCAUGGAUUCUGCACCACAACAAACCCUGGGGAACACCUCAGCAUUCCACCUGGAAUCAACCAGGAACAGGCAGCCUAUACUAGUCAGUUUCAUGGUCACCAUCAAGGAGGAUUAGUAAAUAAACAUGCUUGUCUCCUUACUGUCUAGUAAUCAGUCUUCUUUACCUGUUUCUUAUUGUAUGUGUAUCAACAGACAAUUAAAAUAUAGUGAAAGGUGCCAAUCUUAAGUGUAUAGCUUGAAUAAGCCUUUAAAAUGUUAUACCCCCACUGCGUCCUGCAACCCUAUCAAGGUAUGAGUCCUGUGUAUCAACACAGAAAUCCCCCCCAGUUCCUUUCCAAUCAGUGUCCACUCGCCCUGACUCACGCAGCCUUGGAGAAGGUUGCUCUGAACACAUCCCAGUUGAGCCUCAGCAUCAAGGUCAUGGAAUCAAUUACAAUGUGCUUUCUGAUCUCUGCCUGCUUUGCUCAAAGUGUUUUUGAAACUUAUCUGUUCU